UGUAUGAACUGGGUACUAGAGACAAG
rnacentral:piRNA from 1 species